rnacentral:rRNA from 1 species
AGUGAACGCUGGCGGUAGGCCUAACACAUGCAAGUCGAACGAGUGGCGGACGGGUGAGGUAUAUAUCGGAAUCUACUCUGUCGUGGGGUAUACCGUAGGGAAACUUACGCUAAUACCGCAUACGCUUGAAUGCGUCGAUGUCGGAGUAGCUAGUUGGCGGGGCAAAGAUCAACCAAGGCGACGAUCCGUAGCUGGUCUGGGAGGAUGAUCGGCCACACGGGAACGGAGACACGGUCCAGACUCCUACGUGAGGCAGCAGUGGGGAGUAUUGGACAAUGGGCGCAAGCCUGAUCCAGCCAUACCGCGUGGGUGAAGAAGGCCUUCGGGUUGUAAAGCCCUUUUGUUGGGAAAGCGGUACCCAAAGAAUAAGCACCGGCUAACUUCGUGCCAGCAGCCGCGGUAAUAC